GUGUGUGUCUGUCAUAUAUCAUACAGUCAGUCUGUGUCCUGUCAUAUAUCACGCAGUCUGUGUUCUGUCAUAUAUCACACAGUCAGUCUGUGUCCUGUCAUAUAUCACACAGUCAGUCUGUGUCUGUCAUAUAUCAUACAGUCAGUGUGUGUCCUGUCAUAUAUCACACAGUGUGUGUCUGUCAUAUAUCAUACAGUCAGUCUGUGUCCUGUCAAAUAUCACACAGUUUGUGUUCUGUCAU